rnacentral:lncRNA from 1 species
AAGGGAUCGAGUUUCCAGACUCUCAGUUCUAAGCACCUGAAAGAGGUCAGAUGCUGGCCUGACACCUACUGGUCUUCAAGAAUUUUCUGCUGCAAAGAGAACGCGGCACUGAGCGACCCUCGUGGGGAUGUGAUGGCUCUUCUUUCGGGUGCCACACCUGUUGGCAAGGUGAACGCCUCCAGAGAAGAGUUCUUCCCUCGAGCUUACGCUUGGCUGAGGUGUAGCCGGAGGGGGCCGGGUGGGGAGUCCACGUCUGCGUUUAGCCACCGGGACAAGGUGGGUGGGGGAGCGUUCCUUCGCUUGGUUUCCCCGAGAACCACCAUCGACUGACUGCUCAGUGCACAGGUUACCUCGCUUGCGAUGAAAUGAAUGAUCCACAGUUAGCCCUGAGGAGUGAGUGAGGUCGGUUACCAGGGCUAGCUAGAGCUGAGGCGUUCCAUGCCCACAGCAGAUUUCGAGACCAGCAGAAUUUGAAAGGAGGACCGGGAGGUCGCCAGCUUGUCCAGGCAGGAAAGGUGAGGGUGCCAGUGCAAGCUGGGGAAGCCUGAGAACUUUCCCGAGUUGCAAGCCAAGGCAGCAGGCGCGGGCCUUGCCUCGGAUGACGCAGGGCUGGCGGGUUGGAGGGUUAACAGUAAGGAUACAAUGAGUCCUCUUUAGAUGCUCACCCGGGGGGCACCAAGGGCACUUCGUAAUUAGAAAUCAGCCGACUUCCCCGCCCCCUUGGGUAUUUUACCAAGUAGGAGCCAAAUCCUGACACCCGUCGCUGCGAGUCUCCCAGGUUGCCUGAGUUGCACCCUGCACUCACCCUGUCCCCCUCCAACUAGGUUGCAGGGAGCCGGGGAGGCGCGCGAGCACCGAUCGGUCACCACUCCAAUGACCUCAUCGCCCCAACUUCCCCGCCC